rnacentral:rRNA from 1 species
CCCUUAGAUGUUCUGGGCUGCACGCGCGCUACACUGAUGCGAUCAACAAGUUUUUCCUAUGUCGAUAGACACGGGUAAUCUUUUGAACUCGCAUCGUGAUGGGGAUAGAUUAUUGUAAUUAUUAAUCUUCAACGAGGAAUUCCUAGUAGGUGCAAAUCAUCAGUUUGCGUCGAUUACGUCCCUGCCCUUUGUACACACCGCCCGUCGCUGCUACCGAUUGGUUGAUCUGGUGAAUUAUUCGGACUGCCGGCUGAAGGGGUUUCCUCAUCUGCCAGCGGAAAGUCUUGUUAACCCUAUCAACUAGAGGAAGCAGAAGUCGUAACA